UACGUAGGGGGCGAGCGUUGUCCGGAUUUAUUGGGCGUAAAGAGCUCGUAGGCGGUUUGGUAAGUCGGGUGUGAAAUCUCCACGCUCAACGUGGAGGGGCCACUCGAUACUGCCAUGACUCGAGUCCGGUAGAGGAGUGUGGAAUUCCCGGUGUAGCGGUGAAAUGCGCAGAUAUCGGGAGGAACACCCGUAGCGAAGGCGGCACUCUGGGCCGGAACUGACGCUGAGGAGCGAAAGCGUGGGGAGCAAAGCAGG
rnacentral:rRNA from 1 species